UAAUGUAGAAACACUGAUUCUCGUACGAUCACCGAAGUUAAACAACGUCGAGCCCUGUCAGUAUCUUGAUGGGUGACCGCUUGGAAAUACCAAGUGCUGUUA